GCCGGGGUAGCCUAGCCUGGUUAGGGCGCCAGACUCAUGAUCUGGAGAGCGUUUGGUGGUCAGAUGCCCAGAAGUCGCGGGUUCGAAGCCCGCCCCCGGCA
rnacentral:tRNA from 1 species